rnacentral:rRNA from 1 species
UAGGGAAUCUUGCGCAAUGGGCGAAAGCCUGACGCAGCCAUGCCGCGUGAAUGAUGAAGGUCUUAGGAUUGUAAAAUUCUUUCACCGGGGACGAUAAUGACGGUACCCGGAGAAGAAGCCCCCGGCUAACUUCGUGCCAGCAGCCGCGGUAAUACGAAGGGGGGCUAGCGUUGCUCGGAAUUACUGGGCGUAAAGGGCGCGUAGGCGGACAGUUUAGUCAGAGGUGAAAGCCCAGGGCUCAACCUUGGAAUUGCCCUUUGAUACUGGCUGUCUUGAGUGCGGGAGAGGUGUGUGGAACUCCGAGUGUAGAGGUGAAAUUCGUAGAUAUUCGGAAGAACACCAGUGGCGAAGGCGACACACUGGCCCGUUACUGACGCUGAGGCGCGAAAGCGUGGGGAGCAAACAGGAUUAGAUACCCUGGUAGUCCACGCCGUAAACGAUGGAUGCUAGUUGUCGGCAUGCAUGCAUGUCGGUGACGCAGCUAACGCA